AUGAACGCUGGCGGCGUGCCUAACACAUGCAAGUCGAGCGCGAACGCUCCUUCGGGAGUUAGUAAAGCGGCGGACGGGUGAGUAUCGCGUGAGAAUCUGCCCUUUAGUGAGGAAUACCCUCAAGAAAUCGAGGUUAAUACUGCAUACGUCCCUCCGGGGAGAAAGGCCGCUUUAUGCGGUCGCUGAAGGAUGAGCUUGCGUACUAUUAGUUAGUUGGUAGGGUAAAGGCCUACCAAGACUAUGAUGGUUAACCGGCCUGAGAGGGUGUACGGUCACAUUGGAACUGAGACACGGUCCAGACUCCUACGGGAGGCAGCAGUGAGGAAUAUUGCACAAUGGGCAAAGCCUGAUGCAGCGACGCCGCGUGGAGGAUGAAGGUUUUCGGAUCGUAAACUCCUGUUAAGUGGAAAGAAACAUAUCUUCUAAUAAGGAUAUGUCUGACGGUACCACUAGAGAAAGCACCGG
rnacentral:rRNA from 1 species